rnacentral:rRNA from 1 species
UACGAAGGGGGCGAGCGUUGUUCGGAGUUACUGGGCGUAAAGGGUGUGUAGGCGGUUGUUUAAGUUUGGUGUGAAAUCUCCCGGCUCAACUGGGAGGGUGCGCCGAAUACUGAAUGACUUCGAGUACGGGAGAGGUGAGUGGAAUUCCUGGUGUAGCGGUGAAAUGCGUAGAUAUCAGGAGGAACACCGGUGGUGUAGACGGCUCACUGGACCAUAACUGACGCUGAGGCACGAAGGUCAGGGAGCAAACGGG